GUGCUGAACUAGAAGUUGUUUGGGCCCAAAAAUAUUGUUUUAGGCCGAGCUUAGAUCUUUUUCGGCCCAAUAUUAGAUAGGCCGAGUUUAGAUUCGUUCUCGGCCCAGAAGUCGUGUACAGGUGUUAUUGAUAUUUAGUCCAUGAGCCGCACGGUUAAAUUUGGCCAUACCAUAUGGGAAGUUGGAAUGUAGACGAAUCCUGUUUUGAAAAGGAGUUACGACGAGAUCAAGAUAAUGAGAUUGAAUAAAGUUUGAUAACAAGUUACGUUCAAAGUCCUAUUGGGAAUAGGAUUGGCUGAGAUAAAAGAGUUCUAAUCCGAGAAGGAUUAGGAUUCAAUAUAGGUUGGCCGCUAUAAAUAAAGGAGGUUGUACAUCAUUCAAGCCCCCUUCAAUUCAACACACAACUGCCCUGCGCAAAUUCUCUCAACAACCUUGAGACUUUUUCUUUUUCUCUUUUCGCCAACACACCUUCAGUUUGGAUAAACAGCACUGUGAAGGCAAUCGGUGAUAUCUUUAGUUGGCAUAGAUAGCACUGUUACCGUAGAACCAGCCAAUCUCGCAGCAUCUUCAGUCGGCAUAGAUAGCACUGCGUCGAGGGUGACUGGUUAUCUAUCCAAGUCUUGGUCAAGACGGAUUUCUGAAUCUUUGUUGGUCGAGGUCAUCUCAUUAACCUUCUUGGCGAAGUGAGGUGUUACAGUUUAUUGGGCUCAACACAUUGUACGUCGAGUUAUUUUAUGAUUGGAUACUCUUAAGUAGGAUUUAGAAUUCGGCAUUCUAACGGUCGAAUCACGUUUAUUGUUAAGACUUAUAUUCGUUUUGAGUAUUUGUGCCCUUACACUUUGGUGUCGAUUCGACGUGAGUUUACUUUGACGAAUACCAUCACUGUGACCGAAUCCGACGACGACGAUUUGUGAACUUCGUAAGAAUAGUAGCCUUGUCUUCAGGUUCGAGAACCCAGGAGGCCGAUAUGUGUUCCUUCCUCGGUCGCAAUCGUAAGAUGCAGAAGUCAGCCGCGCACACAAUGCAACAUCAACAUAUUUUACUCCUCGAUCGAGCUCGACCGACAAGUUGGCACGCCCCACAUUUAACCGAAUGACGUAGUUAGCUCAUAGAUUACUGGGCCUGCGUGCCACGUAGGCUUGGUAGUUUUUAGGGUCAACACUUUGGCACACCCAGUGGGACCCAGUGCUAAAACUACGAAGUUCAUGCCAAUUGAAACACGAUCGGUUAAAAAGAAAAUAGCUAUGAGAAAAUCAACAACCGAUUUGCCAAUUCAGAACAUAGGACAAAGUGUAUCACAUGCACAGAAUCCCCUUAGUGCCAUAACACCUGAGUCCACAAGCGCGACUCGCCGAGAAAAUGAAGUUGG
rnacentral:lncRNA from 1 species